rnacentral:rRNA from 1 species
AGCAGCCGCGGUAAUUCCAGCUCCAAUAGCGUAUAUUAAAGUUGUUGCAGUUAAAAAGCUCGUAGUUGAAUUUCGGGAUCAAUAUAUCGGUCAUGCUUAGGUAUGUACUGGUAUUAUUGAUUUCUCCCUUCUGAAGAACCAUGAUGUCAUUAAUUUGAUGUCGUGGGGAAUCAGGACUGUUACUUUGAAAAAAUUAGAGUGUUUAAAGCAGGCAUACGCUUGAAUACAUUAGCAUGGAAUAAUGAAAUAGGACGUUUGAUUCUAUUUUGUUGGUUUCUAGGAUCGACGUAAUGAUUAAUAGGGAUAGUUGGGGGCAUUAGUAUUCAAUUGUCAGAGGUGAAAUUCUUGGAUUUAUUGAAGACUAACUACUGCGAAAGCAUUUGCCAAGGAUGUUUUCAUUAAUCAAGAACGAAAGUUAGGGGAUCGAAGACGAUCAGAUACCGUCGUAGUCUUAACCAUAAACUAUGCCGACUAGGAUCGGAUGAUGUUAAUUUUUAAUG